GGCUUUUGUCUCUCGCUGCAGCCAGAGCUUGGGAUCGCUUUCUGCUAUUCAACGUCCUCCACCUCUGCCCCCCUCUCGCCCCAGCCGGUGACAGGCUGUUGCCCUGUGAUCUGCAGGUCCUGGGACGUGCACAGACAGCUAAGAUGCCAGGACAUUCCAGAAGGUGGGAAAGGCACCUGAGUAAUUUGACUCUCCUGCCUGGACCCAGCGUACAGAUGGGAUUGUGCUUCAUUGCUGGACCCAGCAUUUAGGCCCACUACCUAUGAGAUUGCAUGCUCCUGCCUGGGCUGUGCCCACAGUGACCUUGUGACAUAUAUCUGCAUCCAUGACCUAAAAGAUGUGACACUUCUUGCCUGCAACCUGCCCUGCACAGGAAAGAUUGCGACUUCUCCCUGGAAGCAGACACCAGGGAUCGUCACUCCCGUGGAUGAUCAAAGGCGCCUGUAAUUUCAGCUACUCCGGGGGCUGAGGCAGGAGAAUCGCUUGAACUCGGGAAGCAGAAGUUGCAGUGAGCCAAGGUCGCACCACUGCACUCCAGCCCAGGCGACAUUGUGAGACUCCAUCUCAAAAAAAAAAAAAAGAAAAAAAGUGUACUAACAAGACCCAGCACACAGAGGAGACUUUUACCAUUGUAUGAACACCCAUCAAACAGUACACAUCAUCAUUGUGAGUUCUGAAUCUCACACAUAGAGGAAGUCAAAGGUGGAAAACUUGACUCUCAUAUUUGGAUCCAGUCCACAGGUUCUGCUAGCAAGGAAGACUGAGACAUAUUGUGGGGCUCUACGCCAAUGUGACAUUACUGUUCUGCCUUGGCCUGUACCUGAAAAGGCAUUGUGACAUAUUGCUGGGCCCAGCAACAAGGUGGCAUGAGUCUUCCGUAUGGACCCUGACAACAGAGCAUUGUGACAUAUCUUUAAGAGCAUCAACUAUUUGAUGUGACUCUCCUUUUCUACCAAGGCUUUCCUCAUAUGAGAGAUUGUGACACAUCUUCUGGCACAGAAAUCAAGUGAUGUGUUUCUCCUGCCUGAGCUUUGCUCAUAGAAAGCAUUGUGACAUAUCUCUGGUCUCAGCACCCAGGUGUGAUUUUGACGCACACUUCUGCCCAGCACCUGAGUAAUGUGAUUCUUCAGAAUUGGCCCGGCCCACAAAUAGGAUUGUGCCACACUGCUGGACCCAGUGCCUAAGUGAUGUAACUCUAUUCUUCUGCCUUGGUGCUACUCGAAAAAGACAUUGUAACAUAUCUCAGAGCCUUACACCCAGGUAAUGUGAGUCUCCUCUUCUGCCUUGCUGCUGCACACAGAAGCGGAAUAUGUACAGGAUUGUUAAUCUCAUCUUGGAUCUUCCUGCACUUGUGAUUGUGACACAUGCCUCUGUGUAGAACCUGAGUGAGUUUACUCUCCUGCCUGGAUUUAACCCAUAGAUGGAAUCGUGACAUAUCACUGUACCAGAAACUAGGUGAUGUGACUCUAUUUUCUUGCCUCUGUGUUUUUAUAUGGGGCAUCGUGACAUAUCACUGGGCCUUGCACCCAAGUGAUGGGAGUUUUCUCUCCUGCUUUGGUGCCGUCCACAAUGAAAAUUGUGAAAUAUUGCUGCCCUCCCCACUAGGUUAUGUUACUCUCCUGCCUCUGCUUUGCCCACAUGGGUCACUGUGACAUAUUGCUGGGUCUAAAACCCAGGUAAUGUCACUCUCUUGUUUGGGUUCUGCCUGCAGGAGUCAUUGUCACAUAUCUCUAUGCUCAUCACCCAGGUAAUAUGAUUCCCUUUUACUGCUUAGUUCCUUCUCACAAAACAACUUGUGACAUAUUGCUAGGCCCAAUACACCUAGCUGGUGUAACUCUUCUUUUCUUUUCUUUCCUUUUUUUUUUUUUUUUUUUGAGAUGGAGUCUCACUCUGUUGCCCAGGCUGGAGUGCAGCGGCAUGAUUUCAGCUCACUACAGCCUCUGCCUCCUAGGUUGAAGCGAUUGUCCUGACUUGGCCUCCCAAGUAGCUGGGAUUAAAGGCAUGUGCCACCACGCCCGGCUAAUUUUUGUAUUUAUAGUAGAGACAGGGUUUCGCCAUGUUGGCUAGGCUGGUUUCGAACUUCUAACCUCAGGUGAUCCUCCUGCCUCGGCCUCCCAAAGUACUGGAAUUACAGGCAUGAGCCACUGCACCUGGCCUGAUUCUUCUCUUCUUUCUAGGUUUCAACUGCAGCAGAGAUUGUAACAAACCACUGGGCCCAGCCGCAUAAUGAUGUUACUCUUUUGCCUUGGGCCUGCCCUCAGAAGGCACUGUCACAUAUUCAUGGGCCCAACGCCAAGGUGAUAUGUGUCUCCAGCCUGGACCCUGCCCACAGGGGGCAUUGUGACAUAUCUCUUGGCCCAUCAGAUGUUUGAUUGUUAUCCCCUCCCCUCUUCUACCCUGUGUUUGCCUAUAAAAGACACAGUCAUAUGUUCCUGGGCCCAGCACCUAGGUGUUGUCUUACUGGAAUGUGUCCACAUGGGGAUUGUGAUAUGUCACGUGGCCCAGUACUUAACUUGAUGUGACUCUCCUCUCAUGCCUAGGCCUUGUAGAGAAUCCCCUUCCCCUUUUGUUUUCCUUUUUUUCUUUGCAGAUCCAGGAGAUAAUCAACUAAGAGCCAGGCACCCGUUUAGGUCUAAUAAACAUUUUACAAACUGCUCUCUCUUUUAAUUCACCUAUCUGAGAGAUUCCUCUGUACAAUAAAACUUGGUCUCCACAAUCCUUUACCUUAACCUAAACCUUCCCUUUCAUUGAUCCCAGGUCUUCAGAUUCCACCACUUGUCAACCACAAAAUAUUUAAAUUUACCUGGAAGCCGCCCGCUUUGAGUUGUCCCGCCUUUCUGAACCAAACCAAUAUAUUCCUGCAAAACCGGCCAUGAUUAAAACAUCAAAAAAUAAUACAUGUUGGCGUGGCUGUGGUGAAAAAAGAAUACUUUUUCACUGCUGGUGGGUAUGUAAACUAGUACAACCACUAUGAAAAACAGUAUGGAGAUUCAUUAAAUAAAAGUAAAGCUACCAUUUGAUUAAGCAAUUCUACUACUGUGUAUCUACAUGAAGAAAAAGAAAUUAUAUGUGUAAGACACUUGCACACACAUGUUUAUAGCAGCACAAUUUGCAAUUGCAAAAAUAUGGAAGCAGCCUAAUGCCCAUCAGCUAAUGAGUGGAAAAAGAAAAUGUGGCAUAUAUAUACCAAUGCAUACUACUCAGCCCUAACGAGGAAUAAAAUAAUAGCAUUUGCAGCAAUCUCGAUUUAGUUGGAGACCAUUAUUCUAAGUAACUCAGCAAUAAAAAA
rnacentral:lncRNA from 10 species